CUUGGAGGCCGUGGCGCAGGACGCGGAGCCCUUCUGGCGCCGGAUCACGUCUCGGACUACCUCCCCCAGGCACGGGCUCUCUGCAGAGGGCAGAAGAGCCCCGAUGGAACAAGGCAAUGAUAGAAUGAGUAACAGUCUCCGGGCCAGGAUCCUCGGCCACACGGCCUUGGACAAGUCACUUGUCAUCCCUGAGCCUCAACUUCCCUCGUCUGGAAAAUGGUGACACAUGUCCUGGACCUUCCUGCUACUUCAUGGGCUGCGGUGGGGUCCGAGGAGAUUGCAAACGCCGUAAGGCUUGAUGCAUUUUAAAGCCUGAGGUGAGUCAUGUGAGGUCAUGUGAAUUUUGUUAAGCUUGAGAGACUUGUUAAAAAUUACGAGAUUGUUAAAAAGAUCAGAAAGAGACUGAUGAUUAAGUGUGUGCGUGGUGUUGGGAGAGGGCCAGGGUGCGGAUGCGGCAGCGUGCUAACCGGUCACUGGUUCGGCCUCAAGGCAACAGGGAUGCUGUUUCUAUUGGUCUGGCGAUUUUUCUGUUAGAUCAGAAAUUAUUUCAAAAUACAUUAUUUAACAGAAAUGGUUAAGAAUGGGUUUCAGCAAGGUAUAAAAUGUCAGAGAGUCCUCUAGUGAUUGAUGGGGGCGUAGGGUGGGCUGCCUGGGGUUCUGGUGGCAGGGAGGAAGACGUCUGAGUUUCCGUGCAGGAGAAAAACCUUCCCCUGUGAGACAGAACCAUUUCAUUUGUAAUAGAAUUUAAUUUUAAUUUGGCUUUUUUUUAAGCUGACCUCAAAAAGUAAUACACUCAGGGGCCACUCAGUGAGCUAAGGAGAAGGUGAUGUUUUUGAAAAAGGAUCAGAUCAAGGAAGGGUCUCCUGUUGACCCAGCGGUGGCAGGACGACGGGAAUGCUGACGUCUGGAAGACGCACCGAGGGCUCCUGCUAAAAUGUGGGUCCUGCUUCCAAAGGUCUGGACUGAGCCCGAGUGUCUGCAUUUCUAAUAAGCUCCCAGGUGAGUCCGUGGUGCUGGUCAGCAGUCCACACUGGCAGCUCAAGAGCCAGCAGUUGGGAGGGGAAGGGAGGGGAGGGGGGAGGCGGGGGAGAAGGAACAACCCAGAUGGCUCAUGCAGCCCUGGCUGCUGGCAACCUUGAGAGACCCCUAGCUAAGCCAUUUCUGAAUCCUUGACCCCCAAGAACCGUAUGGGAUAGAACAUGUUUUAUGUGGCUUUGAACAGCUAUGUGGUGGGGCUUGUUUGUUAUUGCAGCAAGAGAGACAAUGGAUACAGGAA